AAAACUUCCUUUCACAAUUUUCGUAAGAUCUCAGCAACUGAAUCUGCAUUCUCUUUCUCUUCUCUCUCUCUAUCUCGACCGAGCAAACGCUUUCUUCGACUGCAACUCAGCAAUGGCACAGAUCAGAUCUUUCUCCAUGACUACCGUUCUGUUCUGCAUCUUCUCCAUCUUGUCUGCGGUUGCUAUGGUUUCGGCCCAGGAAGCUCCGGCGCCGUCGCCUUCGGCUGUGACAGGAGCUGGAGUAGAGUUGCCAAUUUCCGCUGCCAUUCUCACCUCUUCUCUCCUCUUGUCUUUCUUCGCUCUUUUCAAGCAUUAGAUUAUGAUAUGCUGCGUUCCCUUUUGGCUGCUGUGAUCGUGUUUCGUUUCUUGGUUUUUUCGAUGGAGUAGAUCUCCGGUAACAGCAGAGAAUAAUUUAUUUUCCCCCCACUUUGUUUUUGGGGAGAUUUAUUUAUUGAUUCUUUAUUUAUUUUCCAUGUAUAUCACUAUAUUGUAGCCGAUUCAUACAUACACUUCCAUGGAUUGUUUCUGAUCUUAAAUUCAUCUGUUAUUUCUAUUUAUU